GACGAACGCUGGCGGCGUGCUUAACACAUACAAGUCGAACGGUAAGGCCCUUCGGGGUACACGAGUGGCGAACGGGUGAGUAACGCGUGGGUGAUCUGCCCUGCACUUCGGGAUAAGCCUGGGAAACUGGGUCUAAUACCGGAUAGGACCACUGCCUGCAUGGGUGGUGGUGGAAAGCUUUUGCGGUGUGGGAUGGGCCCGCGGCCUAUCAGCUUGUUGGUGGGGUGAUGGCCUACCAAGGCGACGACGGGUAGCCGGCCUGAGAGGGUGACCGGCCACACGGGGACUGAGAUACGGCCCAGACUCCUACGGGAGGCAGCAGUGGGGAAUAUUGCACAAUGGGCGCAAGCCUGAUGCAGCGACGCCGCGUGAGGGAUGACGGCCUUCGGGUUGUAAACCUCUUUCAGCACCGACGAAGCGCAAGUGACGGUAGGUGCAGAAGAAGGACCGGCCAACUACGUGCCAGCAGCCGCCGUAA
rnacentral:rRNA from 1 species